GAUGAACGCUGGCGGCGUGCCUAACACAUGCAAGUCGAACGAAGCGCUUUGAAGUUUUCGGACAGAUGAGUGACUGAGUGGCGGACGGGUGAGUAACGCGUGGGUAACCUGCCUCAUACAGGGGGAUAACAGUUAGAAAUGACUGCUAAUACCGCAUAAGCGCACAGUACCGCAUGGUACAGUGUGAAAAACUCCGGUGGUAUGAGAUGGACCUGCGUCUGAUUAGCUAGUUGGUGAGGUAACGGCCCACCAAGGCGACGAUCAGUAGCCGACCUGAGAGGGUGACCGGCCACAUUGGGACUGAGAUACGGCCCAGACUCCUACGGGAGGCAGCAGUGGGGAAUAUUGGGCAAUGGGCGCAAGCCUGACCCAGCGACGCCGCGUGAAGGAAGAAGGCCUUCGGGUUGUAAACUUCAGUCAACAGGGAAGAAACAAAUGACGGUACCUGGAGAAAAAGCAACGGCUAACUACGUG
rnacentral:rRNA from 1 species